GUCCACGCUGUAAACGAUGGGUGCUAGGUGUCUCGGGUAUUGACCCCCGAGGUGCCGUAGCUAACGCGUUAAGCACUCCGCCUGGGAAGUACGGUCGCAAGACUAAACUCAAAGGAAUUGACGGGGCCCGCACAAGCGGUGGAGCAUGUGGUUUAAUUCGACGCAACGCGCAGAACCUUACCCGGGCUAGAAAAGUACGGAAGUCUUUGGAAACAGAGAUGUGCUCGCAAGAGAGCCGUAAUCCAGGUGCUGCAUGGCUGUCGU
rnacentral:rRNA from 1 species